AGGGCGCGUCCUAGGCCGGUUCAUUUCCGCCCAGCGCUUUCUGUGGCUAGGGGAGUCAGGGGUUUCCUUUUCCCUUAUUCGGGCUCUUAUGUUACCCCCGUUUUCCGUUGAACCCUUUUCUCCCCUCUUGCCCUCCAAAAAAGCAGUCUGCUGCCGCUCCCGACUUUUCUCGCUGAGACACCGUCAGCUCACUCCGAGCCCAGCACAGCGGCCAUCUUCGGCUGAGUUAUGAACUUCGGUUUGGUUUCUUUCUGCAAUCCCUGCAGGGCCAUAAAUUCUUGGCCCUUAAGACUGGGUGGCCCAUAACAGACUCAGUGAUACCAUCAGUAACCACAAUUCACACUGGAGUCAAGUUAUCUGAUUCCCACACCAGUUGGAGAACUGGAGAUUCCUUAGAACUUUUAACUGUCAUGUUUUCAAAGUUGACAUGGAAAAUUUUACAUGAAGCUUAAAAAUACAACUAAUCUGUGGUGAUAGAGACGAGAAGAGUUAAGCUCUAAAAUUAGAAGAGCAGUUCGUUUUGAGGCAGCACUGAUUGGGAGGGAGCAUGGAGUAUAUAAUUACACAUUUCUAUGUAAUGUAAAAAUGUAUAGAUUUAAGAUUUAUGCAUUUUAUGUAAAUUUUACUACAAUAAAACGAAAAUGAAAGAAGACAGAUCAUAGUUUAAUCAAAUAUUGUGUACAAAGUAAUUUCUGUUAAACAUUUAUAUUUUUAUGUGUAUAUGUAUCUUUUACAUGUAUGUGUUAAGGAUAUGCAUUAAAAUGGUAAUAACUUCCUCUGCCUGUUGGGAUAAUGGAGAGUUUUGUUACUUUUUGUCUUUUUUUAAAACAUGUUCUUCAAUAAUAAUGUAUUGCUUUUGUAAUUAUGAAAAACAAAAGUUAUUUUGUAAAUCUUUGUUACUGAUAAGAGAUGGGUAUUCUGUUAACUACUCAAUUCUCAUGUAGGAAAACAAAAUAAAUAAUGUCUAUUUGAUAAAUCGAGAAACAGAAGCAUUACUUAGAAAUCUGAGUUACCUCUAAAAUAAUGACUGGCAUUUGAAGUUGAGGAUGGGUCUUGAGUUCCUGUGAUUUUAAGCUCUUGGAUAUGAGGGUUGGGUGAGUUCCUCUUUUUCUCUUUUAAAAUAUAUGUAUGUUUAACUUUGCUAAAUAAAAUUUAAAAGAUGCAAUGUAUCUCA
ensembl:lncRNA LINC01004 long intergenic non-protein coding RNA 1004